GAUGAAGAACGUAGCGAAAUGCGAUAAGUAAUGUGAAUUGCAGAAUUCAGUGAAUCAUCGAAUCUUUGAACGCACAUUGCGCCCCUUGGUAUUCCGGGGGGCAUGCCUCUUCCAGCGUCAUUUCACCCCUCAAGCUCUGCUUGGUUUUGGGCCGCGCCGGCAACGGCGGGCCUCGAAAAUAGUGGCGACGCCAUCGUGCUCUCAGCGUAGUAAUUCUUCUCGCUGUUGGGUCCCGGUGGUCGUCCGCCAGCAACCCCCAACUUUCUUAAGUUUGACAUGGGAUGAGGUAGGGAUACCCGCUGAACUUAAGCAUAUCAAUAAGCGGAGGA
rnacentral:misc_RNA from 1 species